UACAAGACAGACAUAGACAUACCAGAGCAAGGGCAGCAAAAGUAAUUAAAGGAUUGCAGUGUUUUUCAUAUGAUAAUUUGAAAGUACUAUGAAUGUUCAGCCUGGAGAAGUAUCUGAUAGGAGCAUGUACAAUAAAUACUCUCCUCAGUAGUAGCCAGGAAAGGAUGGGAAUACUGGAAAUUGUUUAAACAAAAAUGUUUUUACUUAGGGUGAUGAAACACCGGAACAGGUUUCAGAGAUUAUAAAGUCUCCAUCCUUGGAGAUAUUCAAGACCAGACUGGGCACAGAUAAUAUCAAGCUGCUCUAUGUGACCUUCCGUUGCACAGAGCUUUGACUAAAUAGUCUUCAGAGGUCCUUCAUCCAUCUUCAACUAUGACUUCACACCGUCCAUUCCAAAGAGACCAGGACGACUUAGUUUCCUUUUAAUGUGUUUUCACUUGGUCAAAUCUGAGUUUGAUUAAAGGAAACUACCAAAUGUUCCACUUAUAAUGAAAAUAAAUCUCAGUGUACAUCAUGUAGAUGUCUUCAGAGUCAUCAUUCAACAAAUUAAAUUAAAUAUUUAAGAGCAUAAAAGUUAACACCAGUGAAAGAAAAUCUGCUGCCAUUUUCUUGCUAUAAAUACCUGUGCACUAGAAAAAGUCCUAGAGCUGGAUGUCUCCUGUUCUGACUCGUCUGAGCUGAUAUUAGCUAUUGAAUUUCCAUGCUGGACCUGGGAGUAAAACUACAGAAAACACAGCUUUUCUUAGGGUUCUGGUGCUCUAGAACUUCAAACUUCAUGGAUGCUCCAGUAAAUGAAGAACCGUAUUUGAAAUUACUAGUAGUACUGACCAGGCUGAAAAUACUUAGUGAGCAGGGGAAAAUUAAAACUAUUUCCUUCAUUCAGCGGAAUUUAUUGAAGCCUCUUGCAAGCAGUUCUAUGGGGACUCAAGAGAAAAGUUUGCAAGACUUCUUUUCAACAAAACCUGAUUGUGGGAUGGUAACAGGUCUGUACCCAGUACCUUAUUGUAUUAUAAAGGCUCAACAUAGCCCUCUUGAAAUCAAUGGAAGUCAUACCCAUUUGCAUCAGCAAAGGAUCUGUCUGCAACUAUUUAGUGAUCAACAGCAGCUCAAGUAUAUUCUAAAGAACUUGUUUGUUUUUUUAUUCUCUCAACUUUGAAAACCGUUCAGCUCAUGUAUAAAAACUUGCACUGUUCAGGAACAUGGAUCUAUUUGCAAGAGGUGACUCAUGCUUUUGCUGGGGACAGAAUUAAAAGUAAAACAAACUGAACUUAAGUUAGAAUGGAAAUAAAUACACUGGCAGACAGAACUAAAAGGCUCACUGAUGUCACGCUAUUAAGUCCUAGAAAAUUACUCUAUCAUUCUGCUGCCUGAGCCUAGGAUUCUUUCCUUUCUUCUUAGUCUCACUUUCUGGACAUUAUCCAGCUUACUUGAUUCACCUCUCAACUUGUAGCCUCUGUCAAUCUUUAGAAAAACCCUUUGGAUUUUUUCCCCCUUUCUUCUUGUUGCCAAGGAUUCUGUUUAAAAAGCAUGCUUGCUUGACUUUCAGGAAUUUGUACCAAUAUAGAAUAGCGAUGAGUUACAGCAUGUUCAAGAAAUGCACACACUUCCAAGCACAGAAAGAACUGAUGACCAACAAAGGAGCGACAGUAUUAUGGUGCGUGUAUAUUGCACCAUUUCCUUUUUAUCAGCAAGGUUUAUAAAUAUUUAGUUGUAUUUGUUUGAAACUAACCAACCAAGAUCCUAAUAAGCCUGACAAACAUUUCAGUACAUGUUAUCAAAUAAAGU